GGAGACUUGUCCCUGUGCCUCCUUCCCUGCAGGCUGCAAAGCCUCUGCUUGGGCUGGUGGCCCCUCGGCCAGGAAAGCCGCUCGGCGAGUGGGAGGGGAGCCAGGCACCGCUUGGGUAGCAUCGCCAUGGCAACGCUCUCCCUUCUCCGCUCCUCGCUGAGACCCGGGCAUCUGUGGCCAUGGAGACUGGUCGCACCACUGGCACAUCUGCAUAGCAACCAGAGAGGGUGCCGAGCGCAGCUGGGCCCCGCUUCAGGAGAGCAGACCCAACCCAGGACAUUUAUGGUGGAGAACCAUCUCAUGGAGUAAAGCUGCAAAGAGUUGCCAGGAUGAUCCUUGUUUCCCACAUGGAGAGGUCCAGCAUUGUGGGGAUCAGUAAGAGAAACACAAAGCAGACCAGGAAACACAUGUGAAGGAAGUGGCCAUCAUCCAGAAGAAAGCUCUUCCAACUCGUGAGAGAGCCGGGGAGGACCAUGCGAUUGAGGAGAUGAGUUUUGUGCAUUUUCAUCUUUCUGCGCACAUACCUAGCACGUUCAAGGGUUGCAUAACAAUGUAAACAGUCACCAGAGAGGUGAAAAUAGUGAGGAGCGAUCUAGAAAUAAUGAGGGUGAGAGAACUCUCAGAGCUUUUUCAGCAUGAGAGAAUUCAAAUAGAAGACAAAUCCUUGUAACUAGGUCAGUUCAGUAGUCACAGUAUACAGGGAAGGAAAGAAAUAUUAUGUAGAAGGUCUGUUGGCAAGUUUGGAGAAUUGUGUGGAAGAGGGUUCAGAUCAAUGAUAGAUGGAUUCCGUCUAAGUCUUUUGUGCUGCUUCUGAGCUUUUCUGUUUCUGCCGGCUCAUCAUGGCUUAUCUUCUUUCUCUAGCUAUGUCUUUGUUGAGCUCUUGUAUCUCCUUUGUACUCUUGUUUUAUAUUGGCAGUGACUUCACUAAAUCUCGGUUAUUUAUUGUAAAGUUCAGUAUUUGUAUUCUGCUGCUCAGAAGUGAUAUGUUUUCUGGUGAGUGAUAUUUAUCUGCCAUUAAUUUUUCUGUGAAACUUCUCAUUUUUCAUUUAUCAUGACAUCGUUAUAAACAUCUGUUAAUUCGUUUUGAUUACUCAUCUCUGCAUAAGGAAAUUUCUCAUGGAUGAGUUGUUUAUUGCAGGUUCAAUGGAGGAGAGCCAGGGUUGUGCCCAGGGCUGGCUGUAGUUAAUGGGGUGCAUCUCUCAGUGUCCACUCGUUCCCACCUGACAGUGAAGUCACCUGUAGGUCUGGUCACAGAGCAAAGU
rnacentral:lncRNA from 1 species